rnacentral:rRNA from 1 species
UACGGGGGGAGCAAGCGUUGUUCGGAUUUACUGGGCGUAAAGGGCGCGUAGGCGGCGUAACAAGUCACUUGUGAAAUCUCCGGGCUUAACUCGGAGCGGCCAAGUGAUACUGUUGUGCUAGAGUGCGGAAGGGGCUACUGGAAUUCCCGGUGUAGCGGUGAAAUGCGCAGAUAUCGGGAAGAACACCCGUGGCGAAGGCGGCUCUCUGGGACGGUACUGGACGCUGAGACGCGAAAGCGUGGGGAGCGAACAGG